rnacentral:rRNA from 1 species
CCUACGGGAGGCAGCAGUGGGGAAUAUUGCACAAUGGGGGAAACCCUGAUGCAGCAACGCCGCGUGAGUGAAGAAGUAUUUCGGUAUGUAAAGCUCUAUCAGCAGGGAAGAAGAAAGACGGUACCUGAUUAAGAAGCCCCGGCUAACUACGUGCCAGCAGCCGCGGUAAUACGUAGGGGGCAAGCGUUAUCCGGAUUUACUGGGUGUAAAGGGAGCGCAGACGGCAGCGCAAGUCUGGAGUGAAAGCCCGGGGCCCAACCCCGGAACUGCUCUGGAAACUGUGCGGCUAGAGUACUGGAGGGGCA